GAUGAACGCUGGCGGCGUGCUUAACACAUGCAAGUCGAGCGAGUGAGUUCUUCGGAACGAUCUAGCGGCGGACGGGUGAGUAACACGUGGGCAACCUGCCUCAUAGAGGGGAAUAGCCUCCCGAAAGGGAGAUUAAUACCGCAUAAAAUUAUCGAGUGGCAUCACAUGAUAAUCAAAGGAGUAAUCCGCUAUGAGAUGGGCCCGCGGCGCAUUAGCUAGUUGGUGAGGUAACGGCUCACCAAGGCGACGAUGCGUAGCCGACCUGAGAGGGUGAUCGGCCACAUUGGGCCGGAGACACGGCCCAGACUCCUACGGGAGGCAGCAGUGGGGAAUAUUGCACAAUGGGGGAAACCCUGAUGCAGCAACGCCGCGUGAGUGAUGAAGGUCUUCGGAUUGUAAAGCUCUGUCUUUGGGGACGAUAAUGACGGUACCCAAGGAGGAAGCCACGGCUAACUACGUGCCAGCCGCCGCAGUAA
rnacentral:rRNA from 1 species